UCUAAUUUGGCGUGGGCGUGGGAGGCUUCCGACCACGCCCCCUUCGCCCGGGACUGAGUUAGAUCGCUCUGCUGGGGGUCCUUUGACUCUCAAACCAACACCCUGCUUUAAUUUGUUUUUUGUUUUUUGUUUUUUUUGAGACAGGAUCUUGCUAUGCAGUUCAGGCUGGCCUUGAACACACUUUGUACCCCCCAAGCUGUUCUUGAACUCCCAACAAUUCUCCUGCCUCAGCCUCCCAAGUGCUGGGAUUACAAGAGAUGAGAAUUACUACAGAGACAUGUCUUAAUAAAGGAAAUUACACUGCUGCCUGAGGGAUGCAUCAGAAAGGUGUGUGCUGUGGUUGUAUGGGGCGUUAUACAAAACCCAACAGCCUGACUCUUAUGCAGGUGUUUUUCUGAAUGGAAAAGGUAAGGACCCAAGCCUAGUGGUUCAGUCUCUAUAGUCCCAGCUACCUAGGAGGCUGAGACAGGAGGGUUGAUUGAGACCAGAAAAUAAGGAGAAACCUGGACAAUAUACCAAAACCUUGUCUUUUUAUAUUAAUCAAGUUAAAAUUUAUUAGAAAUGUUUGUCUUGCAGAAUACAGAAAAAGUUACUUACAAUCCAAGGCUUUACUUCAACCUGUGUAUGUUGAGAUACAUACAGAUACCUUCUUAGAAUUUGGAAAACGUGGGCUGGGGAUAUAGUUCAAUGGCACAAUCGUCUGCCUGGCAAGCACAAGGUCAUGAGUUCAAUACCUGGUUCAAAAAAACAAAUUGGAAAACAUAGAAACUGCUAGUCUAUAUGUUGUUUGAAUAUACAAUUUAAUUGUAAAAUAUAAAAACCAAUUAAAAACUUUUGUUACAACGAUAGGAAAAUGAGUAUAUGCAUCAAACUUUUAAGUACAAGCUAGCAGAAAGAUGACAGUUAACACAAAUUUGAUUCAGGGACUAUAUUACCCCAUAAUUUUUUUGGUCUUUUUUAUUGUGUUUAUGUAUUUAUGUAUUUAUUUUGAGGUAGGGUUUCAUUAUAUGUAUGGUUCAGGCUUGAACUCACUGUGUUGUCCAGGCUGGAUAUGAACUUGCAGUGAUCCUCCUGCCUCAGCCUCUGGAGUGCAGGGAUUACAAGAAUAUGCCACUACACCCAGCUAUCCCAUAAUUACUAAAAACAGGAAACAACACAAAAAUACUGAGGCUUACUGGCAUAUAAGAAAUAUGAUUCAGUUCACUUGUGGCUAUAACCUGUUGCAAAAUAAAUAAUCAGUAACUUAUUGCCCAAUUUGAUUAAAAGACAAUGUUAAAUUUCCAUACUACUGCUUACAAGAAUAUGGAGAAUCAUGUGAGCUCAAAAUUCUUACUGAAAAGUGAGCCUAUAUAUUUACUUCAAAGAUCUAAUUUAAGAGUGAGUUUACUGUGUUUGUAAUUAAGAUAUGUCAUGUGUUUGUGUAUUUUCUGGAGAAAUAAUUGACAUAUUUUUGUAUGACUUACUUUAUAGGUUUUUCACUGUGAACAAUUUUAAGAGGGUCUUGAAAUUGUGAACUACAACUGAGGUUGUAUAUGCUCAAUGGUUUCAUUUCUUUUUUUUUUUUUUUUUUUUUUUUUUGUCUUUUUCCUUUUUAUCAGUACCAGAGAUCGAACUCACGACUGCCUGCUUUCAAGGCGGGCGCUUAUGCCGCUGAGCUAAAUCCCCAGCCCUAUGCUCAAUGAUUUGAUCCAAUAUGCAUUCUUCCAUGUAAAACAAUUCAAGACUUUUCUACAACCCUUUUGUUUUCUCACAACAUUGUUCCAAAACCUUAUCUUAAAAUACAUGGGAGGACCAAGGAUGUAGCUCAGUGUCACAGGGCCUGCCUAGCAAGCAUGAGGUCCUGAGUUCAAUUCUCAGUACAAAAAAAGGAAAAAAAAAAAACAGAAAAAAAAAGGAUAGACACACGGUUUGACUAUUCAAUCAUUUAACAUUUACCACACAGCCAGGAGUGGCAGUGCAUGGCUGCAAUCCCAGCACUCUGGAGGCUGAGGCAGAAGGGUUGCUGUGAAUUCAUGGCCAGCCUGGGCUACAUAGGGAGUUCAAGGCCAGCCUCAACUACAUAGCAAGAUCCUGUCUCAAAAAACAAAAUGAAGGCCAUGGAUUUAGCUCAGCAGCACAGUGCCUACCUGAUAAGCACAAGGUCCUGAGUUUGAUUCCCGGUACCAAAAACAAAACAAAACAAAAAUCUCAAAAAGCAUUUAUCAUGUAGCAUAAACCAGGCACUGUUAAAUAUCCAGGACCUUCCGUACAAAACAAAACCCCCCAAAACCUGUUCUUCCCCUCACAGAGUUAACAGCCUAGCAUUGAUCCAAAGCCUAGGCUCUGUCCUUUGACCCUAGUUCAAAUGCUGACUCAUCACUGGGCCUGGUGGUGCAUGCCCGCAAUCCCAGGACUUGGAAGGCUGAGAUACACGAUAUUUGCAAGUUCCAGACCAAUCUGGGAUACAAAAUGAGCUGAAGGCCAGUCUAAACUGCCUAGCAAGACCUUGUCUCAAAAAAAAAAAAAAAGAAACAAAAGAAAAGAAGUUCUGGUUCAACAACUUGGUGACAGUGUAAACCUUGGGUGCAAUUUUUAAAUCUUUAUCUCAUGUGUCAGAAAUAAUACUGUGAGAGUCGACCCCCCUGCUACAACCCCCUCCCCAGAGCGGGGAAUGAAAGGGUUAACUCCCUAACUCCCCAGAGCGGGGAAUGAAAGGGUUAACUCCCUAACUCCCCAGAGCGGGGAAUAGAAGAGUUGACUCCCUAACUUCCCAGAGCUAUCAAAACAGAGCAGUAAAGAGUGCUUCACUCCCUAAACCUUUUCCCAGGAGAUAGUCAGAGCGGGGCCAAAGGGAAUGUCUCUGCUAGUCAUUAGCCACUUGAUGUUCUGUUCUUUGUAAAGAUAGAGAUAGGCAAAAGAAUGUACUGUAUAAACAGGACCAGGGAGCACCUGGCACUCUAAGGUCAACCCAAGACCCUCGGUCUCCAUGGUUACUCAGCCCCAGACCCUCAAAUCAGCAUUAGCCAGGUCCUGCGCCGCUCAAAAUUAACCAAUGCGAUUUGCUUCUGUAAACUUGCUUGCCUCCUGCGUGUACCUUUAAAAACCCUGCACAAAUUCCCCUCGGGGCCCCUCCGCACACGUUUGCCUGAGGGACCCCAUGCGCAUGGAAAUAAACUUUCUUUUCCUCACCAA